rnacentral:misc_RNA from 1 species
CGCUUUGUCACAAAUAACUUAAGAGCAGAUGUUGCAAUCAUUGCCACCUGUUGAACAAAAACUUACCGGAAUGUAGCCGUCGGGUUGAGGUCUCUCGUUGUCCCUGAAGAAAAUUGCUUAAUUACAAUCAAGCAUCCACGAGUUUCGGAAUUCACGUUCGAUUAUCGACAUGAAACGUACCGAUGUCGUCGUUGUAUCACCGGUGUCUGCGGAGUGCUGUCGUGGAUGAUCACUUGGGUGGCGUCAAUCUCUUCGCAUUCUGAACUCUCUUCUGCCGAAUC